AGAGUUUGAUCCUGGCUCAGGAUGAACGCUGGCGGUCUGCUUAACACAUGCAAGUCGAACGGGUAGGGGCGUGGUUUCCACGCCUCCACUAGUGGCGGACGGGUGAGUAACGCGUGAGAAUCUGCCUUCAGGACGGGGACAACAGUUGGAAACGACUGCUAAGACCCGAUGUGCCGCAAGGUGAAAUAUUAAUAGCCUGGAGAUGAGCUCGCGUCUGAUUAGCUAGUUGGAGUGGUAAAGGCACACCAAGGCGACGAUCAGUAGCUGGUCUGAGAGGAUGAGCAGCCACACUGGGACUGAGACACGGCCCAGACUCCUACGGGAGGCAGCAGUGGGGAAUUUUCCGCAAUGGGCGAAAGCCUGACGGAGCAAGACCGCGUGAGGGAGGAAGGCCCUUGGGUUGUAAACCUCUUUUAUUAAGGAAGAAGAACUGACGGUACUUAAUGAAUCAGCAUCGGCUAACUCCGUGCCAGCAGCCGCGGUAAUACGGAGGAUGCAAGCGUUAUCCGGAAUCAUUGGGCGUAAAGAGUCCGUAGGUGGUCAAUCAAGUCGGCUGUUAAAGCAUGGGGCUUAACCCCAUCAAGGCAGUGGAAACUGGUUGACUAGAGUCUAGGAGGGGUAGAGGGAAUUCCCAGUGUAGCGGUGAAAUGCGUAGAGAUUGGGAAGAACACCGGUGGCGAAAGCGCUCUACUGGACUAGAACUGACACUGAGGGACGAAAGCUAGGGGAGCGAAAGGGAUUAGAUACCCCUGUAGUCCUAGCCGUAAACGAUGGAUACUAGGCGUAGCUCGUAUCGACCCGAGCUGUGCCGAAGCUAACGCGUUAAGUAUCCCGCCUGGGGAGUACGCACGCAAGUGUGAAACUCAAAGGAAUUGACGGGGGCCCGCACAAGCGGUGGAGUAUGUGGUUUAAUUCGAUGCAACGCGAAGAACCUUACCAAGGCUUGACAUCCGACGAAUCUAGUUGAGAAAGUAGAGUGCUUUCGGGAGCGUCGUGACAGGUGGUGCAUGGCUGUCGUCAGCUCGUGUCGUGAGAUGUUGGGUUAAGUCCCGCAACGAGCGCAACCCUCGUCCUUAGUUGCCAAUAUUAAGUUAGGAACUCUAGGGAGACUGCCGGGGACAACUCGGAGGAAGGUGGGGAUGACGUCAAGUCAGCAUGCCCCUUACGUCUUGGGCUACACACGUACUACAAUGGUCGGGACAACGAGCAGCGAAGCCGCAAGGUGUAGCGAAUCUCAACAAACCCGGCCUCAGUUCAGAUUGAGGGCUGCAACUCGCCCUCAUGAAGGCGGAAUCGCUAGUAAUCGCAGGUCAGCAUACUGCGGUGAAUCCGUUCCCGGGCCUUGUACACACCGCCCGUCACACCAUGGGAGCUGGCCACGCCCGAAGUCGUUACUCCAACCUGCAAAGGAGGAGGACGCCGAAGGCAGGGCUAGUGACUGGGGUGAAGUCGUAACAAGGUA
rnacentral:rRNA from 1 species